GGAGAAAGGCUGUAGCUCAGUGGCAUAGCAUCUGCUUCACAUGCAGAACGUCCCAGGUUCAGUUCCCCGCCUCCCCA